GAGGGUGCAAGCGUUAUCCGGAUUUAUUGGGUUUAAAGGGUCCGUAGGCGGACAAUUAAGUCAGCGGUGAAAGCCCACAGCUCAACCGUGGAACUGCCAUUGAUACUGAUUGUCUUGAGUACAGUUGAAGUUGGCGGAAUAGGUCAUGUAGCGGUGAAAUGCUUAGAUAUGACCUAGAACACCGAUUGCGAAGGCAGCCAACUAAGUUGUAACUGACGCUGAGGGACGAAAGCGUGGGGAGCGAACAGGAUUAGAUACCCUGGCAGUCCACGCUGUAAACUAUGAUUACUCGGUAUUGGCUUCGGUCAGUGCCCAAGCGAAAGUGAUAAGUAAUCCACCUGGGGAGUACGGUCGCAAGAUUGAAACUCAAAGGAAUUGACGGGGCCCGCACAAGCGGUGGAGCAUGUGGUUUAAUUCGAUGAUACGCGAGGAACCUUACCAGGGCUUAAAUGCAGGACGACCGGGGUGGAAACACCCCUUUCUUCGGACGGCUUGCAAGGUGCUGCAUGGUUGUCGUCAGCUCGUGCUGUGAAGUGUCGGGUUAAGUCCCAUAACGAGCGCAACCCCUAUUUCUGGUUGCCAGCGGUUCGGCCGGGGACUCUAGAAAAACUGCCAGCGUAAGCUGUGAGGAAGGUGGGGAUGACGUCAAAUCAUCACGGCCCUUACGUCCUGGGCCACACACGUGCUACAAUGGUGAGGACAGAGAGUUGCCAACCCGCGAGGGUGAGCUAAUCUUCAAACCUCAUCUCAGUUCGGAUCGGAGUCUGCAACUCGACUCCGUGAAGUUGGAAUCGCUAGUAAUCGCAUAUCAGCCAUGAUGCGGUGAAUACGUUCCCGGGCUUUGUACACACCGCCCGUCAAGCCAUGGAAGCUGGGGGCGCCUGAAGUCGGUCACCGAAAGGAACUGCCUAGGGCGAAACUGGUAACUAGGGCUAAGUCGUAACAAGGUAGCCGUACCGGAAGGUGCGGCUGGAUUAUCUCCUUUUUAGAGACAAAGUCGACGGUUAUCUAACGGGCUGCUGCAUCAUUCUAUUUCCGUCUUAUAUCUAGUCCUUUAGCUCAGUUGGUUAGAGCGCUACACUGAUAAUGUAGAGGUCCGCAGUUCAAAUCUGCGAAGGACUACGGAGUAAGAUGGGGAAUUAGCUCAGCUAGCUAGAGCGCCUGCCUUGCACGCAGGAGGUCAUCGGUUCGACUCCGAUAUUCUCCACUAGGAAAGUUCUUUGACAUAUUGGUAGAAAAAUAAAACUUUAUAAGUAAUUAAGAGCAAUUGGCGGAUGCCUUGGCUCGCAACAGCGAUGAAGGACGUGAUAAGCUGCGAUAAGCUGCACUGAGACGCAAAUAGUCUUUAAGGUGCAGAUUU
rnacentral:sRNA from 1 species